rnacentral:rRNA from 1 species
AUUGAACGCUGGCGGCAGGCCUAACACAUGCAAGUCGAGCGGUAGCACAGAGAGCUUGCUCUCGGGUGACGAGCGGCGGACGGGUGAGUAAUGUCUGGGAAACUGCCUGAUGGAGGGGGAUAACUACUGGAAACGGUAGCUAAUACCGCAUAACGUCGCAAGACCAAAGUGGGGGACCUUCGGGCCUCAUGCCAUCAGAUGUGCCCAGAUGGGAUUAGCUAGUAGGUGGGGUAAUGGCUCACCUAGGCGACGAUCCCUAGCUGGUCUGAGAGGAUGACCAGCCACACUGGAACUGAGACACGGUCCAGACUCCUACGGGAGGCAGCAGUGGGGAAUAUUGCACAAUGGGCGCAAGCCUGAUGCAGCCAUGCCGCGUGUGUGAAGAAGGCCUUCGGGUUGUAAAGCACUUUCAGCGGGGAGGAAGGCGUUAAGGUUAAUAACCUUGGCGAUUGACGUUACCCGCAGAAGAAGCACCGGCUAACUCCGUGCCAGCAGCCGCGGUAAUACGGAGGGUGCAAGCGUUAAUCGGAAUUACUGGGCGUAAAGCGCACGCAGGCGGUCUGUCAAGUCGGAUGUGAAAUCCCCGGGGCUCAACCUGGGAACUGCAUUCGAAACUGGCAGGCUAGAGUCUUGUAGAGGGGGGUAGAAUUCCAGGUGUAGCGGUGAAAUGCGUAGAGAUCUGGAGGAAUACCGGUGGCGAAGGCGGCCCCCUGGACAAAGACUGACGCUCAGGUGCGAAAGCGUGGGGAGCAAACAGGAUUAGAUACCCUGGUAGUCCACGCCGUAAACGAUGUCGAUUUGGAGGUUGUGCCCUUGAGGCGUGGCUUCCGGAGCUAACGCGUUAAAUCGACCGCCUGGGGAGUACGGCCGCAAGGUUAAAACUCAAAUGAAUUGACGGGGGCCCGCACAAGCGGUGGAGCAUGUGGUUUAAUUCGAUGCAACGCGAAGAACCUUACCUGGUCUUGACAUCCACAGAACUUAGCAGAGAUGCUUUGGUGCCUUCGGGAACUGUGAGACAGGUGCUGCAUGGCUGUCGUCAGCUCGUGUUGUGAAAUGUUGGGUUAAGUCCCGCAACGAGCGCAACCCUUAUCCUUUGUUGCCAGCGGUUAGGCCGGGAACUCAAAGGAGACUGCCAGUGAUAAACUGGAGGAAGGUGGGGAUGACGUCAAGUCAUCAUGGCCCUUACGACCAGGGCUACACACGUGCUACAAUGGCAUAUACAAAGAGAAGCGACCUCGCGAGAGCAAGCGGACCUCAUAAAGUAUGUCGUAGUCCGGAUUGGAGUCUGCAACUCGACUCCAUGAAGUCGGAAUCGCUAGUAAUCGUAGAUCAGAAUGCUACGGUGAAUACGUUCCCGGGCCU